rnacentral:tRNA from 1 species
UAAACUGUUUAAAGAUUUAAACUUCUAAUUUAAAAUUAAAGCACCCGUGUUUCAGUUUUA